GGUGCUACUCCGACCUCAAUCGAGACAAGACUGCACGCUUCACCUGGUCUGGGACCGAACCUCCGCCUAGCAGCACAGCUCCAGGGCAGAUACUAUGCUAAUCAAGAAAGUUCUUCCGACUCCUCAUGCGCAGGCGGGCCCGGGAUCGGACCUGAGCAAGUGAUGGAGAAGACCCGCUGGGAAGGGACGAUCGCAGUGGCGGCUGGUGCCGAGGGCUCUUUGGGUCUCGGGUGCCAGGAGCGAGAACUCCUAUUGGAGAAGUGAUGGGACUUUUCUCGUCCGGAGGGGAAACACUGGGGGCGACAGCAGAAUCGGGGGCCGACCGGCACCAGUGCGCUGCACUUCCUGGUGUGUCCCAAAGUGCGCAGCUUCUGCCAGCGUCCCCUGCAGCUCUUAGCCCCCGGCGUCUCAACUGUCCAGCUUCUAAGGCUGUUCACUGCGUGCUCGCACCUGCAGGAUCCCCUCCUUCACCGACGCCAGCUCCCCCAAUCCUGGACUGCCCCAGCCCUCACCCCUCGGCUAGUCCACUUUCCUUCUGCCAGCGUGGCAGCCCCGAUUCCCUCCCCUUUCUUGGGGUGCGGGGCGCUGGGGCCCCAAAAGAGAGACCGCCGGCGGGAGCGACGCGGGGUGCACCCGGGAAGGGAAGACACUGACGCCUGCACAACUUCUUACUGGUCUCGGGGACCCCCAGUUCCGCUCGCUGUGCAACCCGCAGGCUGCUGACCCAGGCAGCGGUAAGAGGUGCGGCUAGAACCCAGCUCGGGAGGGAAUGAGCCAGGGCAAAGGGUAUCUGGGUGCGCCAGGGCGGUACCGCUUUAAAUGCACUUGACUCACCUGCUCCGGCGCGGUCGCCUCCUUCUCCUGCUGACAGCUGGGGGCUUUGUUUUCUCCACCCACUCGGCCGGGCGCGCUCCGCCCCAACCGCCGCACGUGACUAGCCGUCUGCCACCACCGCGGCCAGGCUAGUCCACUUGAGAGUCCAGCCAGCGCCCCCUGCCCUGCUCCCUGGGGCGUGGGUGCAGGUGGAGACCCCAGCUGGGGGAGGACCCGCAGGUCCAAGAUGACUCGCUGGAAAGUGCUGGUUCUGGCCCUAGGAAGCGAGAUUGAACUGGUGACAGGGAAGAAGGUGUCAGUGGUGAAAAGAACUGGGCUGAUCUUGAGCCAGGAGGCCGGCGUGGCUUGCCGAGGGCUCGCGAAGGCUAUGCCAUACCGGGGUCCACACACCAACCCGAGUGCAGCUGCUCUUUACACCAACUGUUUGCGCUUAUGUCUGGGGCAGAACUGAUAAUGAGAGGCAAACUGCUAUAUCGUGAACACCAUUAAUUAAACUAUGCAAUUCUAAGCUAAAUAACACGAUUGAAGAUUUAAUAUUAGUAUGUUUUUAUUGAAUUUUCAAAUCUGCUUGUUGAUGCUGUUGAUAUUUGGAUUCUAUUCAGAAAAUAAAAUCAGGGCUGGAUAAGCUAACUCCGGAAGAUUACUGAUGUGGGCACUUGUCCAUUUGGAACAGCACCUAUUUUUAAUGAAAUGAAUUGAGAAAAUGUUCUGGCUUCAAACUCCAGCUCAGUAUCUGUGGCUUUUGGAAUUGAUCCCGACCCUUGCUGCUCUUAAUACUCUCCAGUGUUUGAAACAACAAGACAUUGUUUUCCGAAUCCUUCCUUUAGCCCUUGGAGAGCAUACAUUUACCUUUCCCCCAAAAUUACUCCUCAGGGGGAAAGAUGUAUCUCCCCUAGUAUUUAUUAAACUGUAGUCUUCAUAGUGAAGUGAUUUAGCACCGUGCUUCCCAAACUUUACACAGGGAUUCCCUGGAGAUCUUGUUAAAACCAAAUUCUGAUUGAGUGCCUCUGGGGUUAGGCCUGAGAUUCUGUAUUUCCAGCAAACACCUUAGUAAUGUCAGUCCUGCUAGUUCCAGGAUUGGAACUUUCAGUAGCAAAGCUGGGAGCAGACUUUGGCAUUGGUCCCCUAUUUUGAGUCAUGACUAUACCACUUGCUAGCUGUGUGACCUUUGGCAAGUUUCUUAACCUUGAAGCUUCCCAGGCUGUAAAAUCAGGAUGAUACUAACGACCACUUCAUAGGAUUGUCUUUAAGAUUAAAUGAAAACACCCAUAUACAGUGCCUAGUGUAGUGGCUGGUGCACUUACCAGGUUCAGAAGAUAUUGGCUAAUGAAUUCUCAAGGUUGUCCUUGAAGGGACAAAGCUGGCACAAAGCCCAAGUGCCUGUUAGGGGAGCAGUGUGUGAAGUGGGUACAGGCCUGAGAUAGCUAGCACAAGAGCAAUGCUGAAUCCCUGCAGCAUGCCAGGCACAGAGGACAAAUUUGUUGAAUAAAUGCAUGACAGUAAUGCAGAGAAAAUCAUAUGUGUCCAAAAAGUUCUUCAGUUUCUACUUGAAAUCUUGAUAAAUUGGUUCUGAGGCAUUGAAUUAAAAAUCAUUUUGCUUUUUUAUUACAGAUAAUGUCCAGCUGCCUGCCGGAUGUGCAAUCCAUUUUAAUAUCAGAGAGUAAAUGGAUUGUUAAGGAAUAGGACAUUUUUUAUCCUCAUUAAAAACCUUGAAAUUUAAAUUUAAAUGAAUUUAUUAAUGAAGAUAUGAUAUUCUUAGCUCUCAAAAUGAAUGGGUGUUGUCAUUAGAGUUUCCAUCUCUUCCUUUCUUGCUUUUCCUCCUUUCUUUAUCCCCCAAAUACAAAUGUUUUCUGAAGUUCAUUUCUUGUAUUUUUUCCUCUGUGCUUUUUUGCCUCAGAAAUUUUAUUAAUGUUUUAUGUUCAACUUUAAAGUCAGUGCAGAUUACUUCUGAAUCCAUACCAGUUUCUUAACCUGCUUUCAAGUCCCAUUUUUUUGCAUUUCCAUUUACUUUCUAUGCAUUUCCACUGAAUUUCCCAUUAGCCUUUACUGUGUCUUAUUUAAACUCCCUCCUCCCAUAAAACUGAUAUUUCCUUGGUGAUAAACCAAGAUGACUGUGAGUAGCCCUUCAAGCUAAUCCCAGGACCUGGCAAGAGUGUGGAUGCACAGUAUGAUUUAUCCCAGCUGCCUUCCUGCUAUUCUCAAGUAUUUCUUUAAUACUUUGCUCCUUGGUGACUGGAGUCAACCAUGUAUCAACAUGAUUUACUGGUAUAACAGUCAUCUUCAGCAGCUGUGGACUGCUGCAUAAUGGUGAUCAGUGUGAAUUGAGUAAGAAAUUGUAUUGGUCAGGAUAGGCUAAAUUAUGCCACAGUAACAAAUGCCAUCAAAAUAUCAGUGGUUUAAUAAACCAAGUUAAUUUUCUGCUCUUGUAAAAUCUCCAGGGAACUCUUCAUUCUCGCCUGCUUCAUUCCUGUGACAGCACCUUGAAUACUGUUAUGGUUUAUAUCUGGAAUGUCCUCCCAAAAGUCCAUAUGUUGAAGUCUGGAUUCCCAGAACAGCGCAGUCCAGGGGUGAAACUUUUGGGAAGAGAUUGGAUCAUGAGGAUUCUAACCUCAUCAGUGGAUUAAUCCAUUUGAUGGAUUAAUUUGAAUGGACCACUGGGAGGAGGUGAAAACUAUAGGCAGGUGGGGCAUGGCUGGAGGGAGUUGGUCACUGGGGGUGUACCCUUGGGGACUAUAUCUUGUUUCUGGUUCCUUAUUUACUCUCUGAUUCCUGGCCACCACGGGCUGAGCAACUUUCCUCACUCUUUUCCCUCCUGCCAGGAUGUUAUGUUCAUCUCAGGCCCAAAGCAGUGUUGCCUGUCAACCAUGGUCUAAAACUUCUGAGACCAUGCAUCACAAUACAUUUUUCCUCCUUUAAUUUGUUUAUGUCAGGUAUUUGGGGCACAGCAAUGAAAAGCUGACUAACAGAAGCACCAUUUCAGAGGAAGAGAGUAUGGAGAAAUGCUCACCAAACAUAAGUGCUUCCACCCACAAGGGACACAGUUCACUUUUCACAUCUCAAUGGUCAAAGGAAGUCACCGGAUCAUUGUCUAACAAGUAUGUACUUAGAAGGAAUGGGAAAGUACAAAUCUUGGUACACACAUUUGGUCGUUUGGGCCCUGAAUGUAGUGUGAUUAAGGAGCUGAUUCAUCUAUAAAUGCUGAACAAGGUUGAUUCCUUCCUAGGUGCUUCAGAGGGGGCAAUUCUGAUAUCAUGAUGGAUUGGUGAAGUGGCUAGCUAAGCAUCCUGGCUGCAGAGGACUUCCGGGGUAUCUCUGGUGUUAAGGAAGUUUCUGGUAGACUUCUCUAAUUCACAGAGGAAAAAGUCAACUCCCAAGGAUGUCUGGGAGAUUUCCACUGGAUUAUAAUGAAAUGCUCCAUAGACUUGAGAGAAUCUGUCGACAUUAGCAGGGAAGGAGGAUAUUUUAUUACACAGAAAGAAACACUUUGGAGAGAGUGAUUGUGAAUUCAGGUUACAAGCUCUCAGAAUUCAGUGGAGUGGCCAUGUUUCCUCCCAAACAAGAAGGUACUUACUUGAGAGGAGAGUGAUAAAAGGAUAUUGCAUUCAACCUUGCAAGCUGACCUGUGGGUGACAAAGGACACAAACAAGAAAGGUGACAUGUCAAGUUGGUGACGCAGUCAAGCUGGUGAAUUAUUUGGCUGGAAGCCAUGCACAAAGACAGAAAGAGAGUGCAAUGAAAGAAAGUAGUGUUCCAAUCCAUUCAAUAACCGGCUGCUCACAGAGCCCUCCAGGAAAACCACUCCAGCGUUCUCCAGUGUGUUCAUCUUGAGGGGGACACAUGGGCUUGUUAUGUUCUCCCAGCCCCUUCUCUGCCCUUCCCCUUGAAGUCAUCGGGCAUGGAAAGGCAAGGAGAGAGAGCUUAAGACUCACCAGACACAGAGGUGGUAAGAACUCCAAUGGGACUGUACGUCAUUAAUAGAAUUUCCCCUCACUUUACUCAUCUAAGAUUAAAUUCCUAAUUCAUUAAAAUAAAUAAAAAUUUACUAUUUGA